UGGCUGGGCUGGAGCGUAGAGGAGGCGCGGUUGAGUCGGUCUCGUAGUGUGGGAGACGGGCGGCGGCCGAGUUGUCGGAGCUCCAAAGGGAGUGACUAGAGAAGCCGGUGGGUUGCUUUCCUUCCGGUGCUUUUUUUUUUUUUUUUUUCUGGUCUCUGGGUCCCGACCCUGUGUCGCCCGCCGAGCAGAGAUUCAUUCCCCUGACAAAACCCGGAGUUGACCCUUUCGGUCAAUUGUUGGGCGCGGGAUCGCCCUGAGCUUCGCGCAACCCCGAACGCGCGGGGCGUGAAGGCCACGCGAGCGGAGCCCACCGCGAGCGCGGACCCGGAGCCUGCCUGCCUGCCUGCCUGCCUGCCUGCCUGCCUCCCUCGUCCGCGGCGGGUCCUGUAGCGCAGGACGCAGAGCGCAGCGCACGCGAUGAAAGCCGUGAGCCCGGUGCGCCCCUCGGGCCGCAAGGCGCCGUCGGGCUGCGGCGGCGGGGAGCUGGCGCUGCGCUGCCUGGCCGAGCACGGCCACAGUCUGGGAGGCUCGGCGGCCGCGGCGGCCGCGGCGGCGGCAGCGCGCUGCAAGGCGGCAGAGGCGGCGGCCGACGAGCCCGCGCUGUGCCUGCAGUGCGAUAUGAACGACUGCUACAGCCGCCUGCGGAGGCUGGUGCCCACCAUCCCGCCCAACAAGAAAGUCAGCAAAGUAGAGAUCCUGCAGCACGUUAUCGACUACAUCCUGGACCUGCAGCUGGCGCUGGAGACGCACCCGGCUCUGCUGAGACAACCGCCACCGCCGGCGCCGCCGCACCACCCGGCCGGGACCUGUCCAGCCGCGCCGGCGCGGACCCCGCUCACGGCGCUCAACACCGACCCGGCCGGCGCGGUGAACAAGCAGGGCGACAGCAUUCUGUGCCGCUGAGCCGCGCUGUCCAGGUGAGCGCGCGUUUCCCUCCUGCGGUGGCCGAGCUCCAGUGACGCCUUUCCCCGGGGCUUCCGGUGCCAAGCCUCGCAGGGCUCUCGGCGCCCUUGCAAUUCUGAAACAAAUUCCCAAGAGGGCGGAUACCCCACCCCAGUUAGCAAUGAACUCGUCUUUCACUUUAGUGUGCAGCCGCCUGAGCCCGAGCCAGGAGCGCUAGAGAGGGAGGGGGAAGAGCAGAAGUUAGAGAAAAAGCCACCGAAGGAAAGGAAAAAAAAAAAAAAAAUCUGCAAAUCCUAGAAUCAUUCGUCAUUCCAGGAGAGGGAGAGGAAAGAAAAACGAAGCUCUUAUCCUUUAUUAUUAUUUUUUUGCACGUUCAUAGACAUUCUACAUACGUAUUCUUUUUUGGUCUCUCCAUUUAUAACCGCUGUGAAUUGUAUAUAUUUUUUGGUGUUUUUUUUUUUUUUUUUUGGAGGUGCAGUUAAACUUUUUUAAGCUUAAGUGUGCCAGGACUGAUAAAUAGAAGAUCACGAGUAAAUUUCCGACUUUAGAAGCCUACUUUGUGACCAAGGAGCUCAAUUUUUGUUUUGAAGCUUUACUAAUAUACCAGAGCAUUGUAGAUAUUUUUUUUUACAUCUAUUGUUUAAAAUAGAUGAUUAUAACAGAGCAGGGAACUUUCUUUUCUCUGCAAGAAUGUUACAUAUUGUAUAGAUAACUGAGUGACAUUUCAUACCAUGUAUAUAUAGAGAUGUUCUAUAAGUGUGAGAAAGUAUAUGCUUUAAUAGUCUACUGUAACUAUAAGAUAUUUUUAAUUAAAUAUUUUUUGUAAAUAUUAUCUGUGUGUUUUUUUAAUCUUUGGGAAUAUUUCUUUUGAAAAAAAUCAUUUUUCAGCUCAAAUUGCAGAGCUCUUAGUAUCUUGAAUAUCUUUUCUGUUUGACUUGGCUUGUAAUUUGUUUUUGUUUUACCCAGUGUCCUGUACACUUGGAAGUAACAGUUAUAGCUAGUGGUCCUGCAUGACUGCAUGCGAUGUUUAAUCACAAAAUAAACUUGUUCUGAGUCCAUUCAAAUGUGUUUUCUUUAACCUAGUUAAACUCUUUGUAUUUGAAGCAUACAUGUUGAAAAUAUACUUUUAUCAAGUUUAAGUACAGGGUUCGGUAGUGUAAUGUAUAAAGAAUAUUUGGGUUUUUUUUGUUUGUUUUGCUUUUUAACUGAGGUCAAAAUGGAUUCUGAAUGAUUUUGCAUAUGAGAUGGGCAAUGCUUGGAUCUUUUAAGAAGUUUAUCAAAUUUCCUGUUUUAUCGAAGUGAAAAUAGUGCUUAUCAUCCUUCAUUUUACACAAAAGCUUAAUGUCAACUACGUUUCAUGUCUGUACAGAUUAUUUAAGUCAUAGAAAUGGAAAAUGUUCUUUGCUUGCUACCAAAGGACAAACUGCUGGAAACGAACACUUUCUGCUUUCUUCCUCCAAAGAAUAUUAAUAGGCAACAGUGGGAAAAAUUAAAAGGCAUAAUGGCAAAUCCUUCAAGCAGGGAUAAAAGUCGAUCUUCAAACAUUAAAUAGACCAAAAAUUCUGAUGACCGCAUCUAGAUUAUUUUUUUAUAAAAAUGAUUUUCACUAUAGCUAUGUUAGUUACUGCGAAACUACUGUCCAAUCUCUCGUGGUGUGUAACUUUUCCAUGUGAAUAUUAAAGUAGAUUUAUCUGUCUUGUACUGUGAUUUCUGGUCUUGUUUCUUACAACCCUUAUUUUAAAAGGUUAUUUUCUCUUUAAGAAAGGCAGUGUUUUCUAGGUUUAGAACUAUCAGGGCUUGUGAACAUGCAUUUUAAUGUGAUCAGUACUUUACACACCAGUUAAAUGGAAUUUUUAGAGUGAGAAUUAAGUAGGAUUUAAUUGGGUGCUUUGUAAAUAGUUAGUCAACUGUGUGUGCAACGUGGUCUGUUUGAUUUUUAAAAGGAAAGGAUUUGUUUCAGAUUAUACAAGAAUAAAAGUAUUAUAGGCCCUAGGGACUUUUUAUGAGGUCAAAGUCAAAUAUUUAUAUGAAAAUGAAAUAUCAUGGCCCCUAGUAGUCAGUUGAAGUGGCAGUAUCUCAACAGAAAUGAAUAAUUUAAGAGUAGUAGGUUCAAAUAAAUAGAAUGGUUAAAAGUCUGUCCUGUCCCUAGCAUGUUAUCUCCCUCAGCUUUGAUAUUUCACUGAUUUUAGGAAUUUUUAGAAUUUAACAUAUUUGAUGGUGGACCUUAUAAAGUCAAAGAACUGCUUGUUUAGAUGAAGUUUAUUUUUUGUUUUUGAUGUUCAUUCUUGUCCUACACCAGGAGGAAAACACAAGGACACUGCUGGAAUUCCAAAUCUCAAUAAUUCUAGUCAUCUUACUCCUUGUUAUUUAAAAAAAAAUAAAAAGGGACAAUACCUCUUUUUUAUUUAUUUAUAUUUUUGCGGGAGUGGGAGGGCAUUCUAAUUUCUGCAGGAACCAAGUCAAACCAGGUACUGUUGGUUGGAGUUAGGCAUUCCACAGGCUUGGCUGCAGAACCCUACCUAAGUUUAGGCACAGUUUAAACUUCUGCUGGUACAUAACAAACCUCAAAGUAAAUGAAUAGGUAUUUUUGGUUUCUGAAGCUAGAUGUUGCUUUUGAGUUAAUUUUACAUUUUUGAACAUAAACCACAGAAAAGGAAAGGACAGAAGUGCUGUAGAUGUUACGUUUUAGACAGAUGGCAUCUUCCUCCUGGUCACUGUUGUGGCAUUUACUAUCUAAAGAAACAGAGUCCUUGUUUAUUUUAUUUUAUUUUUUCUAAUUGUAUGCACUUGCAUUAAGUUAUUUUCUGUUGAAAUGUUGGUUGUAUCCUAACCAAGCAGCCAGGUAACAAAAAUACUUUGAGUGGCAUAUUACGGUAGUUCUAAUUAUUCAACUAUUUAGUUAAGCGGAGAAAAACAUCAUAACUUUUCUCAUUUGAUUGGUUUCCUUUUCAUAGUAGAGGCACAACCAAAGAAUAAGAAUUAUUUAAAUCUUAAAAAAAAAAAAAGUACUCCACAGUCGGGUGAUGUUUAUAAUGUGGUUAAAAAAUUCUGAACAUCUCAGAUAUCUCAUGUUUAAAGGGGGUGGGGAGGAAUCUCAAUACUUUGAUAUUGUGUAAAAUCUUACUCAAGUUUAUUGUCAAGCUUUAACUGAAUUUUUAGAACUUUAAAGCAUUUUGACCCCUACAAUCUAUUGUAUUAAAUGCCUUCUAUAAAAAUAAAUCUUCACUGAGCAAA